rnacentral:rRNA from 1 species
GAUGAACGCUAGCGGCAGGCUUAACACAUGCAAGUCGAGGGGUAACAUUGGUGCUUGCAUCAGAUGACGACCGGCGCACGGGUGCGUAACGCGUAUAGAACCUACCUUUUACAGAGGGAUAGCCUUUAGAAAUGAAGAUUAAUACCUCAUAGUAUUGCGAUUUGGCAUCAGAUUGUAAUUAAAGAUUUAUCGGUAAAAGAUGGCUAUGCGUCCUAUUAGCUAGAUGGUAAGGUAACGGCUUACCAUGGCGAUGAUAGGUAGGGGUCCUGAGAGGGAGAUCCCCCACACUGGUACUGAGACACGGACCAG